GACGAACGCUGGCGGCGCGCUUAACACAUGCAAGUCGAACGGAAAGGCUCCAGCUUGCUGGAGUACUCGAGUGGCGAACGGGUGAGUAACACGUGGGUAAUCUGCCCUGCACUCUGGGAUAAGCCUGGGAAGCUGGGUCUAAUACUGGAUAUGACCUUUCUCCUUAUGGGGUUUGGUGGAAAGUUUUUCGGUGUAGGAUGAGCCCGCGGCCUAUCAGCUUGUUGGUGGGGUGAUGGCCUACCAAGGCGACGACGGGUAGCCGGCCUGAGAGGGUGAUCGGCCACAUUGGGACUGAGAUACGGCCCAGACUCCUACGGGAGGCAGCAGUGGGGAAUAUUGCACAAUGGGCGGAAGCCUGAUGCAGCGACGCCGCGUGAGGGAUGACGGCCUUCGGGUUGUAAACCUCUUUCAGCAGGGACGAAGCGUAAGUGACGGUACCUGCAGAAGAAGCACCGGCUAACUAUGUG
rnacentral:rRNA from 1 species